CACCAAACCGCGAGAUCCAGAGGGAGCCGCCCCCGACCGCCCUGCUCCCCGCAGCGCCAGCGAGAGAGACAGACUGCUCGCCUGACCCGCCCCCUUUGUAACUGAUCAUGACCUUAUUUGGUAUGGAAUACCCGCUUUGGUCUCUCCGGGUCUGCUGUCCUGUCAGUGUGGAAACGGACCCUGGCUCAGCCCAUCAGCAAACUUCGUCACCUCGCUGCCUGUGUCCUUUCCAGGCCAUUUCUGAAUACGCUCACCAGCCCUGUUCUGAGCAUGUAGACCUCUAGUCUGUCCUCACUUCAGCUGCGAUUCCCUUUUUCUCCUCUAUGCUGCUUAAAAGAAUAGUGCCCUAGCAUCUCACCAUACCAAAAUGAUGAGUGUUUUACCACAUCUUCCCAUGAGAAGCUUCUGUACAUGGGAGCACCCCUGCCCAUCCAUGACCCUCUGGAUGGGAGAGAGGAGGACUGCCAAAGGUGCUGCAACUCUGAUUUACAGACUGGAAGGGUUAUCCAUCACCCUGGAUGAGGACACUGGCUGGUCUGGCGCUACAGGGCAGGAUUGAAUAUUAGGAAAAAAAUCUUCACAGAAAGGGUUGUGAAACGGUGGAACAGGCUGCCUGGGAAAGUGGUGGAGUCACCAUUCCUGGAGGUGUUUAAAAGGUGUGUAGAGGAGGUUCUUAGUGACGUAGUUUAGUGCUAGAGUUAGGUUAUGGUUGGACUUCAUGUUCUUGAGGGUCUCUUCCAACCAGAAUGAUUCUGUGAUUCUGUCACGCUACCUGGAGGUCCUCCUGUCACAGGAGGUUUUCACAUGACUUCACAGAAUCACAGAAUGGUUGGAGGUGGAAGGGACCUCUGGAGGUCAUCUAGUCCAACCCACCUGCUAAAGCAGAUACAUCUAGAGUAGAUUGCACAGGAAAGUGUCCAGGCGGGUUUUGAAUGUCUCCAGAGAAGGAGACUCCACAGCCUCUCUGGGCAGCCUGUUCCAGUGCUCUGGCACCCUCAAAGUAAAGAAGUUUUUCCUCAUAUUCAGAUGGAACCUCCUAUGGUUCAGCCCAUGUCCGUUUCCUCAUCCUAUUGUUGGGCACCACUGAAAGGAGUCUGGUCCCAUCCUCUUGACACCCACCCUUGAGAUAUUUAUAAACAUUGCUGGGAUCCCCUCUCAGCCUUCUCUUCUCCAGGCUGAAGAGACUCAGCUCUUUCAGUUUCUCCUCGUAAGAAAGAUGCUCUAGGUCCCUAAUAAUCUUCGUAGCCUGCCACUGAACUGCCUCCAGUAGUUCCUUGUCCUUCUUAAACUGGGGAGCCCAGAACUGAACACAGUACUCCAGAUGCAGCCUCACCAGGGCAGAGUAGAGUGGGAGGAUAACCUCCUUCGACCUGCUGGUGACAUUCUUCCUAAUGCACCCCAGGAUACCAUUGGCCUUCUUGGCCACAGGGGCACAUUGUUGACUCAUGGUCAACCUGUUGUCAACCAGAACUCCCAAGUCCUUCUCUGCAGUGCUGAUUGCCAGCAGGUCAACCCCAAACCUGUAUUGGUGCCUGGGGUUAUUCCUUCCCAGGUGUAGGACCCUACACCUGCCCUUGUUAAACUUCAUUAGGUUCUUCUCUGCCCAGUCCUCUGGCCUGUCCAAGUCUCACUGAAUGGCAGUAUAGCCUUCUGGUGUGACAGCUCUUCCUCCCAGUUUGGUAUCAUCAGUGAAGUUGCUGAGGGUGCACUCAGUCUCUUCAUCAAGGUCAUUGAUGAACAAGAACACUGAUGAACAGUGAACAACAUUGAUGAACAAGACUGGACCUAACACUGACACCUGGAGAGCCCCACUAACUACAGGCCUCAAACCAGACUGCAGCGCUGAUCACAACCCUCCGAGCUCUGCCAUCCAACCAGUUCAUGAUCCAUCUCACCGUGCAUUCAUCCAGCCCACACUUCUUGAGCUUGCCAAUGAGGAGGUUGUAAGAGACAGUCUCAAAAGCCUUGCUGAAGUCUAGAUAGACAAUGUCCACUGCUCUUCCCUUAUCUACUCAGCCAGUCAUACCAUCAUAGAAGGCUAUCAGGUUGAUCAAACAUGAUUUACCUUUGGUGAACCCAUGCUGACUACUCCUGAUAACCUUAUUUUCCUCCACAUGCUUGGAGAUGACACCCAGAAUGAGCUGUUCCAUCACCUUUCCAGGGAUGGAGGUGAGGGUGACUGGCCUAUAGCUUCCUGGGUCAUCCUUCUUAUAUUUUUCUGAAUACUGGAGUGACGUUGGCUUUCCUCCAGCCCUCAGGCACCUCUCCUGUUCUCCAAGACUUUUCAAAGAUGAUGGAGAGUGGCUUAGCAAUAACAUCUGCCAAUUCUCUCAGCACUUAUGGGUGCAUCCCACCGGGGCACAUGGAUUUGUGGAUGUCCAGUUUGUGUAGACAAUCUCUAACCUGUUCAUCCUCAGUCAACUUUCUUGCAUGUCAGCUGUGAGUCUCAGGGACUGCUCAAAAACUUCUUGUUUAGCUUGCCCACAGGAAGUGAUUUUUUUUUAUUUUAAUGGAAACUGUUGUAAUGAAAAUUGUUCAGAAAUGGAGAAUGUUGGUAAAAUUAAAAUUUUUAUUUUAUUUUUGUGGUAGGAUAUAGAAAUAUAAGUAUUUGGUGAAACUGGCAGUGUGGCACAUGGGAGCUAUCACUUGGAGAAUACAUCUCACCUCCCACAUAAAUCAGAUUCCCCUGCCAUAUCAUUUCUAAUGUGAAACCAUUGGCAAAAAUAUUUCUUAUGUCGUUCUAAUUUAAUAUUCUCCCCCUCCCUCCCCAAACCAACAACAAACAGAACAAUGAACAACAUUCCUUUGGAAGGCAGAUCGUAGCAAAAGCACCAAACCAUUUAAUAAGAAAUUCAAGUCUUGAAAGACAGUCUAGAUUAAAAAAAAAAAAAAAACAGAGCUAAUUUACUUCCUGAAAGUUUUGUUUCCAUUUGCUAAAACUUUAGGAUUGAAGGCUCUCAAAGGGGGCAAUUUUGUAGGAAAAAAGUUUUUGAGGGAGUAUUGAGAAAUACUCUGCAAUCUGCUCAAACGACUGAAUUUCAGAACUAUCAAAUACCUCUCUCAAAUCAUUUAUGAACAGUUUAUCGAUCCCAGCUUAUUUCCCAUGUUAUUUCAUUUCAUUGGAAACAAGAAAUAAGUUUAUGAAUAGGAUGAUCAGUCAGCACAUCACUCACUGCAUUAUGCCUUGGAACAAAUUGCACAGACAAUCUCUAAGUUUUUAUAAAAAAAGGAGCUGAUUAUACAUUGAAGGCAACUGAAGCAGCUAAUACAGUUGUAAGAGGAAGGCAUGCACUGACACUUGAAAAUGCUGAAGAAGAAAAAAAGGUAGCAGGGGUGUAGGAUUUUCUUCUCUCUGUUCUGUUGGCAUCUUUCAGAGAAUUUGAAAACCCAUCCCCAGGCAGCAAUAUAAUUUAACUUUCACUGGAAAACUAGUAAGUCCAGGUGCUGAAAGAAAAAAAAAAAAGAAGUCCCUUGACUUUAUUGCAAAGUCUGUAAUUUGGGCAACUGGUGGUUCUUGCACCCUUCAUAAAAGACAAUUGUCCUCAGAAAAGGGAAACGCAGAAGCGGGGUCCCUGCUUCCCAUUCUUCCCCAGGACUGAAAAAACAAAGAGUCUGUCCCAAGAAGACCAACAUGCUCCUGAUGGCUUGUGCUGUGGUGGGCUGGUAGCAGGACACCAAGCUACAUUGGCUACAUUUGGAGAAAGGCAGCUGUGGGCUAGAUUGACAUUCAAUAGGAAUAGAGAAACAUCUCAAGAUGGAGUCCAGGUCUACCUAAUAUCUGAGUCCAUCCCCGCCCCCUCCGGGCUGUGGAUUGUCACUUCCCCUGUUCACACCCCCAUCUGCCAAGGGCAUCCCUGCCAGGACUCUCCCUGGCAAACUCUUCUGUGCCCACACUUGCAGAGGAGGACAAAGACCCCAUGGCAAUUUAACCAUGACUUUCCUCACCUUUUUUGCCUGCCUGUCCCUUUCAUGACCAGGUAGAUCAUUGUCAUGCAGAUGGCCAUUAAUAUUGUCACUGAUUACCAGCAGCAGAAAAAUCACAGAAAACAGGCCUUGCAGGGAUUCAGGAUGUCACUGGUUGUCCCCCUGCCUCUAGACAGCAUCAGCUCACUUUCAUCCAUUCUAGCUAACUCGCUCUUAAGAGCCAGCAAUGAUGGGUAUUAAACACUGUCCUGAGGCACUUAAGUCUUCUUCACUGUUAGAAAGUGCCCUAUUGCAGGGCACUGUAAGCUGCAUAGGGGCACUGUGAGCUGCGUAAAUCUUACAUUUAUUUACCUUUUUAAAAACAGGUAUACAAAAGUUUUCAGGGAUUUUGCAGGUAGUUGUGCAGAAAAGGACACACGGAGAUGGCUGAAGAGCAAUCCCAAAAGGAAGACGCAGAAUUCUGGCUGUGGGGUGAGGAUGCUUCACCACCCCACACAGUAGCAGGCAACCACUGGCUGUGCAGGCCAUUCCUCUGAAAACCUAAGAGGAUCAAUAAGGCUUUAUCAGUUGGGAAUCCAGCUUUGUCCCUUUGGCAUUAUGUAUUUAUAAAGGACUCCGAUAUUUAAUAAGUUUUAGCUGCCACUGAAUUUAUCAACUGGCUGAUCCAGAAAAAACAUAAUAAUAGAAAAAGAGUCCCCUGGCCCCUCUGGUGCUGUUAACAUGGGGAGUCUGGCUUGCAAAUUGUGCAAAAUUUGCACAGGUAGCUACCCAUCACAACUGAUUUCUCCCCCUAGCAGUGCUCCAGCACAGGAACUUUUUUUGUCUCUUUGGCUUGGCUGGACUGAACCAAACCUCUAGAGAAUGAGCCACUCCAAAGGCUCAUGUCUAUGGAGAGGGAGAGGUUACCCCUGACCAUGAAGAGGCCAUAAACCAAGUGAUAUUUCCAGGCUCUGGAGGAGAGGCUGAGGAAAGAAGCUGUUGCUGCCAGGGACGUUGCUUCUUCCUUGGACAUUGGGUCAUACUCCCAUGGGGGAAUGAUUUACCAUCAGAGGUGCUAUGUAGGUGCAGGCAGGAUUUGCUGAAGGAGGCAGAGGGACUAGAGAACAGGACAGAGAGAAGUGGGGAGAGGUGGGGGGAUGUGACUUACAACUUUCCCUCCUUUCCCAAUGCUUUGUGGAGGUACCAGACUGGUCAUGAUUUGCUGCUCUUCUCUGCUGGAGAAGCAGCCCUUCAGGUUGAUGAAGGGAGGUUGUACAAGGGAAAGGGAAGGGUUCCUUGCUUCAAUGUAAAGAAAUGUAGCCCAGGGAAUAAGGAAGAGAUUUAUUCCUUGUCAAAGUGUGCAGGAAGGAAAUAAUUCUGUUAGGCACAGAUCCGUUCUUCCAUCUCUUACCACUGCUGUGAGACACCUGGAAAUAUUGGUUGCCCCAGAAGAAAUUCAGGCGUCCCUGAACGGGGGAAGACUCCUCUCUACUACUAGGGCUGUUUUAGCAGCAGGCAGAAUUGCUUCAUUUUCAACAAUUAUUUUCUCAUGUUAUUUUCUCAGGUUAUUUUCCUCCAUAUCCCUGAGGCCACACUAACGUUUAUUUUUAUGCUCAGCUAAGCAGCUGAUUGAUUCUUCCUGGAGCUUUUCCUGUAUCAGCACCAGCAGGGGACUGAGCUACACCCAAUAACACAGAGAAAGUCAAUUAGCUAUAUGAGACAGUUGCCAACAGCCAGAAAAUUUCCUUUCCCAGCUAUUAUGCCUGAAACCCCAUCACUCUGACAGCAAAAUAAUGGUGCCUUGUUGCCUCUAAAUUAGGAGCCAUGAAGGAGGAGAGGAUGGACAUCCUGGAUCUAGCAUCUCUUCUUCAGCGCUCUUGUUCUUCAGAUAGAAGUGCUCUGGGCAGCCUGAGAAAAAUAUGUCUCUCAUCCUGUGGCUCCCAGUGAUUGAUGGGGUGGUUUAGGGAGCACUCAUUUCAAUGCUGCUGCAUGUUCAUACCUUAGAAAACAUCAUCUGACCAAUUACAGCAUCCAUGGACAUACUCAGCAUUUAUGCACACAUCACCAUGUUUGUGGAGCAAUACACAGUUAUUAAAGCAGGUGGUUUGUUAAAAGUACAACGCUUAAUUCAGGCAGUCGAGGAGAAGUGAUUUGACAGCAAUACUGAAUAGCCUUUAGGAAUACACAGUUUAAAAAAAAAUGUUCUUCAUGGGACACAGCAGAGCUACCUUGCAUUUGGCCAGGACAUUAUACUUAAUAAUCUUGAGUGGGAUUUUUCAGAAGUGCCUCAGGUUUGCUGGAAGGACAUUCCUUACCCUUAAUGACUUGUGCUCCUAAAUUAUUUAGGUGUCUUUGACAAUCUCACCACUAAUCCUAAUGAAGCCCAAACCAGGCUCUUUAAUGAGCAUAUAGCUGCGCCAUUUGUGUUGCUGGUAUAAGUUGUGCUGCUCAGUUGAUGGGAGCUGAUUAAAUCUGUACAACUCACCUACCCAGAGAUAAGUGUCCUGAAUAUUCCCAUUUUUCCUUCUGUCAAGAGACAAAAGACCUAUUUGGUGCACACAUAUAAAUGAAGGAUGAAAAUUGUGUGCUUGGACAUGCACAGGCAACUCUUACAGAAAAUCCCACCAGUUUAGUAAUAUUUUGUACCAACAAGAUUUGGGGGCAAUAUUUAUCAGCAUAUGCCCUGGUGCUGCAGCUCUAGCAUCUCAAUACACAUCUCUUAAUGCACAAUAUUGUCCCUUAAAGGUCCUGCAAACACCUGGAUUAUUCACAGUAAACCUGCAGUGUUCACAUGUGGGGGCAAGUUUUACUGGAAAGCAAGAAAUGCAAAUUUUUGGUUCUAGCACAAGGGGAAAUUGUGUAUGUUCCAAACAGUGGAACAUGCACAUUUUUAAAAAAAUACUUCUGCCCCUGAGGUCUGAGCAGAGAACUUCCCAGAGAAAAGUAGUAUGUGCUCCACCAACCUCUCCUGCAAAAUGUGGACUCCUCAACCUGGGUAUUAUAGUGUCUGCUGAAACUGCUCAGCAGUGUUGACUCUAUUAUCACAUACCUCUUCUACUAUUCGUGAAUGAAUAGCCAAGACCUCCUCCCUUACUUUGCAAAAUCAAUUUAAAAAAUCAUCACAGGAAUCUGUGUGAUUCUCUCCUAUAUGAUCCUACAGUUCUUGAAAGAGGUCAAACACAGGUCAGCACGCUGUGUGUAUGGGAGGAAUAGAGCAGAUACCAGGUUAUUUUGUGUCAGCACUUCCAGAGUACAGUGUCUCACAGUGAAUUCCAGCUUUAGCAAAAUAGGAGGCUUUCUAGAGAGCAGAUUUUGCCAUCAGAAGUUGCCUUUUCUUUUUUGAAAGCAAAUGCUUUCAUGAGAACAUAGUGGUUUUGAUUAUAUUUUUAAUGGGAAAAAAGUUGCAGUUAGUAACUUUGAAUGUCCAUUUUUCUUUAAACAACACAGCAUGUACAUUCUGUGCAUUCUGGCCUCAACUUCUCAACAGAUGUUAAAUGAAACAACUCUGUAAUGUGUGGAAGAUUGGGCAGGAUUAAAAUACACCACCAUGGAAGUGACAUUUUUUUUGUCCUCAGACCAAAGCAAAUGACAUUUAACAAUAAGCUUAAACAAGAAAUUCAUUCAGAACUUUCUGUGUUGUGAAAGUUACAUUCAGAAUUUCACUCCAAAAUGGAGUGAAAACAAAUUUCUGAAGAUUUGGUUUUUCUUCCCAGAAGGGCACUCCCAGUUUCCAAUCAGCAGCAUCCUUUGGGGCAGGUUGAGAAUGGUUGUGCUCUGCAUGCAUAGCGGUCUACUCAUAUCUCAAAUCACCCCUCAAGGUUGCUCACCCUCAGCAAGGCUGUUUUGCCCUUGGCAGCAGAAAUGAUUGCUGGUGUGUUGUCCACCACCCUGCUGCUUUAUUAAAUGUUGUAUGUCCUCAGAGUUGUGAGUAUAAAUAAAACCCAGGCCAAGCCCCUGAGAGCAGAAAUCUUGUUACCAGACAGCUGUUGGAGCCUGAAAGUGCUGAUGAAACUCUUGCCGUUCACUCUCAGGCACCAUCUGGUGGUCACAGUUCUCUCAAAAUCUCCUUUUUUCCUGGAAUAUUGUUCUUUAGGAGCAAUAAUAAAUAAAAGUAAAGCUCUCUAAUUUAGCCUCCCCUGCAAGGCAAGAGCAGCUCUGCCAGGGGUGGAAUGGGUGAGUUUAAAGUAAUGUGGGAGAUGGGAGAUACAAAGGGAUUUCCAGUAUGUGCUCGUGCAGUGAAAGAAAGCUGAGCAAAGGAAAAAGGAGAUUAGCAAGUGAGCUAAGGUAGCAGGAAGAUUGAAAAGCAGAGGAAUCUGUCCAAAUAAAUUAAUUCUUGUUCAUUUGCAGCAAGAGGGAUAAUACAUCAGGUAUGUGUGGGUGGGGGGUGAGGGGAUGUGUGGUUAUCAGGGGUUGUUUCAGAUAACAUCUUGCUUUAGAGCGGCGUCUUUCCUGUCUGUGAAGGAAAUGCCUGAGUGUUCCCAGGCACAGUGUGACUGCACAGAUGGAUGGAAGUACUGAAGGACCUGGACUUCAAACAUGAAAUGCUGAUGCUCCUCUGUACCAUACAUAGUUAUGCUGUGGGACCUCUUGCAGCUUGGUGGGGUAGCCAACAGAUAUGUGCUUGGGUUCAAAAAGUGCUCAGACAAUUUGAGAGAAGAAAAGUUAAUUGUGGGCUAUUAAAUAUAGAGAUGUUCUUCUCCAGGAGCCAAAACCAUUGGCAAUCAGGAGAGUGGCUUGGGGGCAGGGAGUCUGAGUACAUUUGUCUUGAUCUUGUAAUCUUCUUUAUGCAUUUUAAGAUUAUUGGCCUAGCUCAAUUUUUAGUUGCUUCUUUUGCUCUGGAUCUUAGAGGUCAGGGGGCACAUCAAAUUGCAAGCUCUCUGCCCUGUUCAGCUUAUGUUGGAAGCAGUAUGUCUUAUUUAUGUAUGUUGCCAGGGCUGAUCUAACAAGCAUGCAGGGGAUAGAGAUUAGGGGUAUCUGCACUUUGCUUUGGGUGCUGUACAGACGUAUUUUUCUGAACACCUUGAAGGUGAACUCUGUCCUGCUUCCCAUCUGGAAGGUCCUAUUAGCUCUUCAUGCUGCCAGUCUGGCUUGCAAGGGGGUUACUGCAGUGAGGAAGUGCCUGGAGAACCUACCACUGUGAGUAUCCCAGCAGGCUGCACCCUAGCCUCAAGCCCCUGAGAAGUACCUUCUUAGGAAGGGUACCUCCAAAACUGGGGUAGAAGAGAACUGGUGGGAGACAAGACUUAUCUGAAGAGGAGACAGUGGGCUAAAUUUUCCUGUUGCCACUAAAAAUUUCAGUCCCUCUCUUGCUGAUGCUUCUGUUCAUGAUUGAAGUGGAAUGGGAUCAGAGAACCAUGAAGAGCAAACAUAUUAUAUUGUUUUGUUUUGGUUUGGUUUGGUUUUUUUUUGUCUUACAUAUAGGGGUGACCUGUAAUGGAGAAGCUGUCAUGCACCUGCUUUGGCUCCCAAUGGUAGAUGAGGAUAGCUUUCUUCCAAUUAUAUGGUUGCUGUUUGAAUUGCUCAAAUCCUACAUCAGUUAGGUCAGCAGGAGAUUGCUUGUUCCUUUCCUAAUGUAUAUAUUUAGAGACAUGGACAUCAGCUAGGUAUAUAUGAUCUUAAUUAAACCAUGGUCAGGCUUGUAUGCCUCUGUUUUCCAAGAACAGAACUCAGCUCUAGUGUUUUAAUGAGUAGAUUUUUAGCCUAGUUUCCUAUGAAAUGAGGAUUAUCUCACGAUGAUGUGUGUUUGUACUUGCACAAGCAGAGAUGUGUGUCUCAGCCCUGUAGGUCUGAGCCUCAUUUUGGCAGAAUUUGACAAAAUAGUAGUGAGUUUCAAGGUGUUAUGGUAAAGAAGAACAACCCUGCUAACAUUAUCCGAAGGAAAAGAUGGAACAUAUGACUGGAGAAUAGAGAAAUUGCACAAGCUAGAAUUGUUAUAGAAGUAUCUGUGGGAAGGAGCUUCCAAACCAAAAUUGUUAACCCUCUGUGGUGGACUCUCCCACACAGCCUUUACAAUGCCUGUAGAAACAAUACACAGAGCUGAUGGAGAUGAGGCAGUUGGUACCCUGGCUGUCCUCUGUCAAUAGCUAGCAAGAGUGAUCAGCCUUGGUCAGGGAAUUUGAAUCAGUCUUGCCUGUGAGAAGGGCAGUGAGACUAGAAAUUAUGGGAGAUGACAUACUAUUCAUGUGAGGGUGUUUGGGCCAUGGGAAUAUUGGUUAUGCCCUAAUGCUCCAGCACACCUAAUGUAGCAUGAAGGGUGUCAUCAGCUGAGUAAUUACUGCCCUUUCAGAGUACAGCAUAUGAGUAUCGACACAUCAGUACUGAUGUGACAAGCCUCAUGGCUAGACUGUUUUGGGUCUACAGGGAGAAAUAGUAAGGUUAGGUAUCCAAAGCCUUACUCAUGUCUCAUCACCUGUUGAAAGCGUCCCUUGAGGUUGACCUUUGUCUUAUAGCUUCCUUCACUGGAGCUAUCUAGCCCAGCAUGACUCCUUGAUCUAUGGAAGGAAAUACACUAUGUGGCAGCACAGUUCAUCUAUCCAAUUUUAGCUUUAUACGAGUAAAAUGAUUGGUGCUAUAGAAGUGCCUGGACAACAAUUCCUGUGCAGAGCAGUCUUAUUCCAGGCAUAGCUACCAGUGGUGAUAUUGGUUGGCCCCUAAGAAAUCUCUUGAAGUCAAAGACACCAGAUAGCAUUUGCCCUACAGAGCGCACCAAGUCUUGGGUUGACAGCAACGAGUGACUAAACGCAGAGCAUGUGUUGAAUGACUGUGUCAGAGCGAAUCAGCAGGGAAUCUUCAAUGCAGCUGAUUUCCACAGAAGGAUUACAGAUAAAAAGUGACUGUCUCAGAUGGAGAAAGAGGUUCUCUGGAUGCUCAAAAUCAGGGGAGGUUUUGAAAGAGAGAUAGAUUGUCUUUCUGGUCCUUUGCACUCAGCUACAGCUCGCUCCAGGUACGGUGUCAUGCCUUCCACGGGGGGCAGAGUCUGCAAUGUUGGAGAGGAUGAGAAGGGGAGAGAUGUGGAGCAGCUUUACUUGAGGGCUGGUGGGAAUGGUGCACAGGGAGAUCAAUUGGUGGCUUGAUUACAGUGUGUAAUUACCUCUAGGAGAGAAAACAUCAGCUGCUAAGAGACUAUUAAAUCCAGCUGAGAAAGACUUUUUUUUUUUUUUUGGGUCUUUCUCCAUCUGUUAAAGUUAAUUGCAUAUCUUCACUCAUUUAAAAACACUUAACAGUAGUUUGUUCAGAUGCUGGACUUGGCCCUGCAGCACAGGACUCAGCAGGUACCAGCUGGAAAGUAAAAUAUUGCUGAUGAACAGGGAAGAAAAUUGCAGCACGAAGUCUCUUUCUGUUGCUCCUUAGCUGGAGAAGCACAGUUCUGUGCAGCGAGUGAAUCAGUCCUGGGGUGAACCUUGUGGAAGGACUGCAGCCAGCUUUUCACCCCCAUCUUACCAACCACAGCAGGCUGUAAGACCUAGGACUGGAGGCCAGCCAGCUCCAACUCCUGUCUUUCUGCUUCCUUGGCUGUGGUUUGGCACAAGGUACAAGGGGAUUCCUCUGAUCUAAGGGGUCUAGGGCUGGAUUGGGGAGUUUGACACUUACCUACCACCUACAGACAGACAUGGGUGGGCAAAAGGAGGUCGUUUGCUUCAUCGGAUGUGUUCAUGGACUGAUGUUCUGGGUAAGAUGUCUGUGUCUGCUCUACUCCCAGCAGUCACAGGUGGAAACAUCAGAAGUGAACUAGAGGACUAAACAUCCCUAAAAGUUCUGUUGAAAAGGUAUCAGAUUUAAUAGGUUAUGUGCUCUCUGACUAUUUGCCUCACAAACUUGUGGUGGAGCAAUGUUUAGAGUAGUCUAUUGAUGCCACUACACUCCUGACCAAAUUAGAACUCAAGGACAAGACCUUCUUUUUUUUUUUUUCCAAAAAAACUUCUGUCUUGUCACCAUUCCUCCCAGUGUCUGUUUUGCCUGAAAAAACUUCUUUUUUGUCUCCAUUCCUCCCAGUGUAUGUUUUUCAAAUUUAGCAUUAUCAUUUGAAUUACUGAAAACUAAAUUAUUUAAUGUCUCCCACUUCUCCAGCAGGAGCAUGAUGGUUAUUGACAACGGGACAUCGAUCAUGUUUUAAAAAGAGCCACCAGUAUUAGGCAGGAGAAAAAAUGAUUCAAGGGUUUCCAGCAAAAGCUGAAAAUAUCACUAAUGAAAGGCCAAGUGAAAUAUUUUCCUAAUGAAAGCCUCAACAUGUAACCAGAAGCUGUGUGCUUUCAGAAUGCCUUAUCCUCACAUUGUUCUGAUUGUUCCCAGCUAAAAGAAGAUCUUGGACUCACAAUGCAAUUUAAUUGGUGUCCAGAUGUUUUUGUGAACAGUGCUGUAGAGGCUGCAUUUGAAUAAGCAUCUUCCUCUUGCCUGAAAGUUCUUUAGAUAAAGCACAAAUGUAAUGCAUAAAAAUGACAUUGGCUUCUGAUCACCCCAUUCUGUGUAAACUGAUUAAUUACGUGUUCAAUGGAGGUCAGAACCAAUGAGCAAAACAAUGCCAUGGGUUCCUCUGAGAUGCAGUAAUUUUUAGAUGUAUAAAAGCUAUCUAAUAAUCCUUCAUUUUAUUUUUAGCACAGAUUUUCAUCAAGAAAAGUAGCUACCAUGGGGAGAAGAGACAGAUUCUGCCCCCUGGCUAAAAUGGAGAAAAUCUAGGAAAUCUAGGACUGCAAGUGGGCUUUCUGGGAGAGGGUUGGGCCCUGAAGAGUUAGUGUACUGAAAUACGUUGCAAAGAUUGUUUGCAUUUUUCUCUAUUUUGCUGUCUUGGCACAUGGAGGCAUUUGAAGUCUGCUUUACCAAGACACUGAACUUCUGUUAAAUCUUGUAUCAGGGAAAUGAUAAUGAUUUACACAUCUUUCUCUUUUGCUUACAAUCGAUUGUGGCACAUGUUCAAAAUGGCUGCUGGUCUGGUAUGCCUGAAUGAUUUGGGUAGAACAACUUAGGCAGCACAACCCAAGAAGGCCAAGAAGUCCUCAUGGCAUAUAGUUUUUGCUGUCUCCAGUAUAAAAUAUCCGUCACUAAGCGGGGGUGUCUCUGAAUGUUGAGGAGGCAUUUUGGGUGGUGACUAGGGUAAGAGCCUGGGAGCCCAGUAUGUGUGCACCUCAGUGGCAGUGAGACAACUGGUGGAGUUGGUUCCUGCGCCAGCCAGGAACUUGCUGCCAUUUCCCCCCAUUCUUAAAGUUGCUGCAUUCCACGUCCUGAGCUGCAUGCCUGUUGGACAGAGGCACCUGGGAAGGUGGGAUGGGUAGGGGGCUGUUUCUCCUGCCACCUCAGGUGUGGACUUGCUUCCAUUCAUCCCUUUUCCUUGACCUGCCUUCUUCAGUCAGGCAAGGGGAGGACACAGGAAUCCCUUGAUCUUAGUUUCUUGCUGGUGGUUUUACCUGCCCCUGGGUGGCCAGAGCUUGAUCCCACCAGUCGAUUUCCUUUUCCAGCUCCCUGAUACGUCUCAGCCUUUCCACCUCCUCUUUCAGCUCUACUACCAGGCUGAGCAGGUCAUCCACCUGCUCACACCUCACAUAACCGUUUUCUGUAUUACCACUCCAUACCAGUGAAAGGCUCUGGCAUUCUCUACAGCCUGAGGUCUGGGUGGCUGCAUGUUCCCAUGGCAGCUCUGUCUGGGUUGCCACCUCCUUCCUGUUGAGCAUGGAGUACUUACCUUUGCACCGAGUGGAAACCAUAGUCAGCCCCUUCUGCGAGGGUGACAACAACCAAGUGAGGCAAAUCACUUGAGCCUGCCAAACUUCCUUGCCCUGCCUGCUUAAACUGCCUCUGCAAACUGCUGCACUAACUGCUUCACCCCUAUUUGCUGGCCCUCUUCACUGCACUCCUGCUUGCCUGCUAACCCUAGGUGGGCAUUUAAGUCUCCCCCAGUUGCUCCUGGCAAUGCCCCUUCUGCAUCAGCCCCUCUCUCGAGAUCAGCUGCUUUCACAGCAAUUCUGUCAGCAGGACCGUGGCUCCAGGAUCUCCUACUCAUCUCCUCAACCUGUGCCCAGCCUCAGCUCUUACCGUAGCCGCUGGUAUGCACGUCGGUUCACCACAUUUAAAUCUCCUGCAGUUGCUCUGUAGCAGCUGUUGUGCUCAUUGCUGACUGUGAUAUAGAGUGCUUGGGGAAAAUAUUCCCACAGAUAGCUGGAGGGUUCCUAGAGCAGAACAAGAAAUGAAUGUCAGGACUUCAAAGAAUAAAAGAUGGACUAAUGUUACAGUCAGGUGAGGAUGUUUCUGCAUUAGUAUUCUUAAUAAACUGGAGGUUUGGGAAGUCGUUUUUCAAACUGGGAUAACCACAGGUUGAGAGGUUUAGAAAUGAAGUUUAUAAAUGCAGUUGUGGUGAAGAAAGUAGAAUGAGAGCUGGGAUAUGCUUUGGAUUUAGUUGCAGAUGUUCAUUCCUGCUCUGUAAGUCAGCUGUUGGAGGCACUGGUGUGCUGCUUCAAGCACUGUGCUGCUGAAGUGGCACAAAGCUGGACUGUAAGGUCUGCAGGAGUGCACCUUUUUGCACCAGGAGUGCUGAGAUGUUUGAUUUUGCAUUGUGUCCAAACGCCCCACUGUGGCACUUGCAGCGCUGUUCUCACUCAUUGUUUUUUUCCAUCAGCUGUCAUUUCUCUGCCGGCAGUAGACGACUGUAUGCACUCUUGGCUGGGACACUUUGCAGGGCUCUGUCCAGUGGCUCAUUAAAUUGAGUUCAGCCAUAUGGCACUUUCCCUGACACACUGUGGCUGUCUAAAGCACCCAUGUGUGAUACGCUGUGCUACCCUAGGACUGGCUCAGCAGAGCCUGUGAGGCCCUUGAGGUGAGAGGUGAGGUUCUGUGCCACUAAAGGAACUGCUGGAAGGAGGAGGGUGGGUUGGUCUUCCCUUGAUGUCCUUUCCAGAGUGGAGCUUUGCACCAGUUCCUGAGCAUAGGCCAAUUGCUACUGCUUCCCCUGUCCCUCUGAUGGCACCUGGGUGAAGAAGUGCUGGCCACCAGACUUCCUGCAAGGACUUCGGCAGUACCUCAGGGUUCAAGGGUUUAAUUUUGUCCUCUGACCCAUAUGAUGUACCUUGUCCAUUUUUAACCUUCAUAAGAGGAACAUGAAUUGUUAGUUAUUACCUUGAGUUUGCCCAGUAUAAUGCUCAGAAGGUCAAAUUCUUUAUCUCUUCUCAAAUCUGACUAUACAUGGCUUGAAGGCGUAUAUCCUGGUACCUGUGGUACAGAGGUAAACAUAUGCUUUUGGAUGCAAGUGAGACAGCCAUAAUAAAAAAUAAAAAAAUAAACAUGAGAAUCUCUUACUUCAGUAACAGACAUGAUUUGGGGUUUCAAAGUUUCCAGCAGGGUGGAGGUGGGGGAUCAGCUCUGGCUCCUAUCCUGCCCCACAGAGCAUGGGAACAAAAGCAGAUGGGCAAAAGCAGAUGUCAGAUAGCAAAUUAAGUAAUACAUUUUUAUCUCCUUAAAAAGCAAGCUGAGUUCAUUGCUAUGGGACCUGAAUGAAAACACAUAUUUUCCUAGCUCCUAGUGUGUUUUUUGACAUAUCUAAGAGUCAAGGGUAGGCAGCUGGGGAGCCUGGGUUUUGGGAAGGAUGCAAAUCCAUCUGCUCCAGGGAUGGACUCAGAUCUGGAAGAAACUUUAUCUCCAGGGAAAUUAUCCUUAGCUGCUUCCUAGAGGUUAUUAGUGCUGUUGGCUUUCUUCUGCAAAGCACUGAUGGUAGCCACUGUUUGAACUUUGCUUGGCAAAACAAACACACAAAAAUAUGCAUAUAUGAAAGCACCAUGUCUCCUUGCCCUUGGCUCAGUCUUUGUACCUUCAUUGCAGGAUUGUUCCCAAAGUGUCAGCUAGUUACUCCUCCUUCUUUCCAGAGCAUGGCUAGUGAUUGCCUUUGGACAAAGCUCAUUGAAACAGAGCCAGGGUGAAUCGAUGUCAAUCAGCAUGCAGGGGAAAAGUCCUGCUUCACUAACCCAGACAGGACUCCAGCAUAGACAUUCAUCUCAGUUUCCUGGCUCUCUGGGGAAAGUAUGAGCAACAGAUGCUGAAAGAGCUUGUGCCACUGAAUUUUUAAAAUGUACUUUAUUUUACCAUAGAACUGUGAAGCUUGAGAAUUCAAGGAGCAGGAGACAAUGCCUCAAAUUUGUAAGAUGGGCACAAAGCUUAUUCUUUUGUAAACUAUAACAUAUCAGGAGUCACUUCUAUUUGCCAUCUGGGUUUUGAGGCUGAAAGUAUAGCCAGCUGCAGUUAUACUGAGGCUGCAGUAUAACCAGCUCUGUCGCCAGCACAGGUUUUGCAUAAAUCAGUUGGCACGAGCAGCACAGAGAUCACUGCUGCAGAGCACAUCAGUGCUCAGUAAGGAUUUUGAAGGUAUGCAGAUAUGAUUCAUGCUUACUGCAGUCUAUGAGUACUUGUGUACUAGAGUGCAAACACUCUCUAACAGUGAAAAGCUUCCACAAGAAUCAAGGUAAAGCUUUUAAAUUACCCCAUUAUAAUGUCCAGUCCAGCAUGGGGUGAGGUAAGGAAGGGUUUUCCAAACACUAGUCCCUGAAACACAUUCUCCCUCUCUCUUGUCUAUGGCUGAAGACCAAAGGCUGUCAUAUCUCUCAUGAGAGGACAGAAGCGUAGAAAGGUCUGAGCCUGUGAAUUGAGGAAGGACAGCAAGGACCGGAGCAGGCAGCAGAGAAACAGGGCUUGUUGGCACCUCGCUCUGACUUGAAAAGCCUGGGCUGUGAGUGGGGACGGAGCCAGGACACCAUCUGUAUGGUGUGAUGCUGCUGCAUAGACACCUGUGCUGGCACGCUUGCUGUUGAGCCAAGGUUUGCAGUGUGCUGUUUGAGCAGGGGAACAAAACCUCACAAGCUGUCCCACCCUGAGCUUCAUUGGCACUUCAGCCUCAGCCAUGUGGAGCUCCAUCAGGUUGAGCUAGUGCCCUGCAGGGGUGGUUCAAACUGCUAGUGGGCCUGCUGCUUAAUAUCACUUGGGUGUAUUUCUGAGCUAAAGCCUGUUAAUGGCGGGAAGCAUGGGCUGGACUGGGUUGAUACUGCUGUAGGUGUAACUAGGCUGUGUUUUUAAAAUGUUUUUUACAUUUGUAGGCUCCAUGGGGCCUGUAGUCCUGCUAUCCGCUGCCCUCUGAGAUGAUGGUGGUCAGUAAGGGGUUCUUUGUUCACGGUUGCAGUAAGAUGAGCCAUGAACACAUAAUUAAAAAAAAAUACAUAUAACAUAAAGAGUAUCUGUUUCUCUGAUGGGAAUUGUCCCUGUGAGUCCUUUUCAGAUAAGAGAACUCACUUGAGAGGGCACCCCUAAAUGAGGACUGUUUUCCAACAAAAAGCACAUAUCAGAGGAAACCAUGCAUGGAGACAGUCCCCUUCAGUGCUUGUAAUCCUGUUUUUGUAGGAACAGCUGUCCCCUUAUUUGAGUUCUGUUCUCCUUUCUGAAGUCAGUAAUAUCUUGCAAAGAGCUGAAAGAUUAAUUGCUCCAAGAAGAACAAAAUUGCACCAAGGAGAACAAGUUAUGCAUGUGCAGUGGGGUGCUUUUUAGUUCUAUGCACACUUCAGUGGCUUAUGCAUACACAGCCACUUCCUUGGUUUCCCUGCAGAUACUGAGAGGUGACCACUGCACAUUCACCUCCAUGUACUGAGGAGCCAAAGGAAUGGCAGGAAGAUAUGCCAGGGGAGGUUUAGGUUUGACAUUAGGAAAAGGUUCUUCAGCCAGCGUCACGGCCCCAAGCCUAACAGUGUUCAAGAAGAGACUGGAUGAUGCUCUCGGACACAUGGUGCGAACUGUGGGGUUGUCCUGUGCAGGGGCAGGAGUUGGACUCAGUGAUCCUUGUGGGUCCCUUCCAGCUCAGGAAUUUCUAGGAGUCUAUGAUUUCUGCCUUGGAGCUUGGGAGAAGGAAAUGCCAUGUGCACAACUGCUGUGCCUUGGGAAUUGCUGCACAUGGGAAUUGCCAUAGAAAUUGAUGCACAGGCAGUAGGAAACUCCUGCCACUCUCCUCUUUGGGUGCCCUGGGGGAGGCUUUGGGGCAGUCACAGCCUUUCCCUCCUCUCAGAACUGCUGGCAGCUGGAAAAGCCUGGAGCUGCGGUGCUGCCCUGCUCCAUUGUAAGAGCCACUGUCAUGCUCUUCACACAGCAAAGCAGAGCCUGCAAAGAGAGAAGUAACGCAAAUAAUCAGCAGUAUCUGCCUUUUCCUCCUCUAUGUGUUACCCAAGACUUAAACCCCACUAAUAAAUAUAAAAUGAACAAGGAAACAUAGUGUGAGCCCUGGAAACUCUGUUUUGCUUUUCAGAAUUUGAAGUUUCAUCAAUUGGUUUGCAUUGACUAUUUUUUUAAUAAUAAUAGCUAAAAAUCUCAUAACAACAUCCGAGGAAGAUGCAUAUAUAGAUGUGACCCUUUUUUAGUAGUAAUCCUAAACCCUGACUGAUUCUAAGUGAACUGAAGACUGCUGGGGAUUUGCAUUAUACACACAAAAUAGCAAUGGCCAGUGGUCAGUCUUGCUCUGAUCAUUCAUAUUAAGGGAGAUGCAAAGCACCAUAGUGGCUGCUUUAUUGUCUUGAAAUGUUUCAGUUCUUUCUGUCCGGCAUGUCCAUCUACCACGUCGUAGCCAUCAGCAGGAUGUCUGACAGCCAGGCUCUGGCUGAUCAGUUGCAGGUCAUCCUGCAGAAAGUCAGGGUACAUUUAGCAAGUGCCAGGUUUGCGGCCUCUUGGGAGAUUAAAUUUUCCAGACUGCAGCUUUUGUUUGCUAAUUUUUUGUGAGAGAGCCCAUAUUUUGAGGACAAAGAGCAGUGCUCGAAUUAUUUCCUGGUCUCUUAUUUUUCAGAACUGAAUCUGUCCUUCCUCCCUCCCUCUCUCCCUCUCUCUCUUCCUCCCUUCUGCCCAGCAUGACCAAAACCACAGCUCUUCACAUCUGAUAUGAAUUAAUCUCUCUCUUUUGCAAAAAAACAGUCCUCAUUGAGGACAUCUUGGGGGACUUAGCAAACAAAUCAGGUCUUCUCUGCUGCCUCUUUCUGAGAAGCCUGCAAGCAAAGUGAUAAAACCCUGCAACUAAAUCAAUAACUCUCCAGCAUUUGAAAAGCAGAGUUCCCAGGGCUCGCACAAUAUUUUCUCACUCAUUACUGUUGGAUUUUAGUAACAAGACAAUUCCCAGUCACCUGGCAAUGCCAAGGCAAUGCAGACUGGUUAUGCACAGAAUAUUGUGUUUCUGCUGAAGCAGAGUGUGCAGUGAGGGGAAGAGACGUGUAUCCGUUCCAGGAGGAGACAAACUGAGCCGAUGCAAAGCUUGCCAAAGUUACCCCUUCCCAGUUUUUGACAAAGUUGGAUGAAGCACAGUGAGCCUGCAGAAGCUCAAACUUGUCCUGUGGUUGCAGUGAGCUUGAACUUAAGAACUGACUUGAUGAUGUGCAGCCAUGGCAUAAUGCAUAAACCAAAGGAGUGGCUAUUGCCCAAUAAAUCUCCCAAUAUGAGAACUGGGCAUGGGAGAAGGGAAAACUUGCAGGAGAUUAGCUUAAAACAGAUAAAAGAUAAUAUGUUUUUACACAGCAGGUAGCAAACACUGAAAUUUGUUGUACCAACAGGUUUUACAAGAUCCAUUAAUGGAUGCUGAAGGGAAUAGGCAUGACUCUUUCUCCAGGCAUCCCAAAGCCUGUGCCUGGGGAUGCUGGAAAACUGCCAGCUGUGCAUCACAGGAAGGCCAGACACACGUGGUCUGUUUUCAGUGCUGGAGGCAGCACCAGGCUGGUUGCACCAUUGGUCUGGCCCCGAAGGACAGCUCCUAUAUAUGUCAGACACUACACAAACCUGUCCCAGGUGUUGCCUGCAGCAUCUCAGCCCAAACAGCUCACAAUGAAGGAUUUAUCAGUUCAGAUUUACCAGCCUGGACUUUUUACUGAGCUCAUUCAACUCAUGGAUUAGCAUCAAAACACCCAGUCCCGAUUUCACAGGCUCUUUAUCAAGCCUUCUCCCUGAUAUCUUUCCAGAAACCUGGUGAGUUUAAUUGGACUCAUGCAAAAUGAUAUGCAAAAAUUGCGUUAAACAAAUCAGGUUUAAUCAUGGGUAGAGAGAAGAGAAACUUAAUCACAUACACUGGGAGUCACAAAUAACCUCCCCGAAGGUGAAAUCUUCUCUUAUCCAAAGUCACCAUUGGUAGGUCUGAAUGAACUGGGUAGUGUCAUUUUCCUGCUAAUCCUGUUGUCCCUUCCCUUCCUGCUGUCAUGCUUGUCAGGGAGGAAAAGCUGGUGGAAUUUCAAGAGGUAGCAUCUUUUCCCCCUCAUCGGCUGUGUAAACAGGAUGAUGCAGAAAGGGUCAGAAACAGAAGCAAGAGAGUGAGUAUCACACCUAGCUGUUUUCUAGAGGUCUGUAAGCCUCGUAGCUGCUCAGAGGCAUUUACCAGUGUCCCACUUUCCCCCUCCACAGGCCCUGAAGAAGUGGCACUGAAAUAAUCUGGUCAACAAUGGACAUGAGUGCACCAGGUGCCUGUCACAUGUGGGCAUGUGCUGUGGAGUCAGGUGGAGGAGCCAGCUUGCUUCGUUUCUGGGGAAGGAAGGAAUCCCAGUGAUGAAUGCUGAUGCCAUGGUUUGGAAAUUUUUUCUGCCUUGCCUGGCACAAUCCAGCAGUGGUCUGGUAAAUUAAACCCAAAAGCUUGUUUUGUGGUCAGGGCCAUGAUGAAAAGUUUCUCAUGGGAAGCUUGAUGUGAGUCCUCACAAGUUGCCAGCACCUGAGAUCUGGAUCUCAGAGAGGUCUCUUGGGAUGGGGGAAAGUGGUGCAAGGAAAGAGGUAGUGUCAAGAUAGGCACAAGGGAUAUCUGCAGGAGGCAAUCACGAUGCAUGUUUUGUAGGGAGGAAAAGGACUGUUUGCACAUGCAAAGCAAACCUUAGAAAAUAAGUGGGUAUCCAGGCUGUUGUGUUUCUCUACCUAUAGAAGCUGCUGGUGCUGCUGGACCAACAAACAUCAGCCCUCUAAGAACCGGAUGAAAGGACAAGCAAAGCCCCAUGGAUUGCCUACAUGGCCACCACAGUUGUGGGGAAAGUGAUGGUGCACACCCUGCUGAAAUUUCUCCCUGACAUCUUAAACCAGGAGAGAAGUGUACUGGUUGCUGUGGUAAUUAGCCACCCUGCAAAAAACAGGUGUUUUCUCUGCCUUAUGAAAGCCAUUUCACCCACCAGACACUUCUGAGCAAGUGCUGAAAAUUGGAUGAUGAUGAACGGAAAACAAGUUGAAAGCAAGCCAAGGAGAAACAGAGCAACAAGGCAAGCAUGGUGGAGAAGGAGAGACCCACCAGAGCAGGGAACACUGAGUCUCAUUUAUUUUUCACGUAGUGAAAAGACAGAUGGAACACGGUCUGGGAAGCUUUUGGAGGAGUGUUCUUCAGAUUAUAAAUAAAGGGGAGAGAGACAGGAAAACUGGUCAGAAAGCAAAGGUAACAGAAGCCAGCAGCGCUUUUUCAAUUAAAGCUCUGCCACAGUUUUGCAGCUGGAACUUUUUUCCCUCAGAGUGAAAAGUAAAUUAAUCAAUGCCACCAUACUUGGUAAACUCCUUUUCUGCCAAGUUAAUAAUUUCAGAAGCAAAACAAGUAAGAUACAAAGAAAAAUUCCCUCUUGGUAUUUUGCAAUGAAAAAAUAAUUCCAAAUAUCAUUCCUUGGACAUUCCCCUUGUUUAUAAAAAAUUAAAAAAAUGAUUGCACAAAGUAAAAUGUCUGUUCCUCAUUGCUUCAGAGUUUCACUGAACUUAGAGAAACAUUUUGGCAUUUGUUGGAAAUAUUAAGAGCAUUCUGGUCAGGGAGGAGUCUGAACAACCUUCUUAAUUUUGGGUGCAGGCAUUGCCAGCAAUGCAGGAAUAAAUAUUAAGGCCCUUGGUUAUUUUCUUUGCUCUGGAAAUCCCACUCUAACCUGAGGCUGGGCCUAAAAGCAAAACUCUUGUGAUGGGGCUUUGGGGGCUGGUAGUGUUCUGGACAAAAUGUGAUACACGUGAGUUCGAAAUGUUGUUAGAUGAAUGAAGGGAACAAAAAAAAUGACACUUCUGGCUCUGGAGGCUAAGAGAGGUUUGUAUGAAGUAUUGCUGCACAUUUGUCUUAUUUUUAUACUUCUGGGUAACCUGUUUUCCCAGUGCCAAAGACGGUAAGGGAUCUGAAGCAUUUUUGAACUGACCAUGGAAUCACUCUUUCCAUUCUUGUUUUAAGCUUUUAUGAAGAGAGAGAAAACACGUUCCCCUUAGGUCUUACUGGCUGGGGAGAAACAAGUGAUCCACGCAGGUUUCCUACUAGUACUUUUCCAGGCACACACAGUGUCCUGCCUUGAACAUCAUUCCAGUGAAAGCAUUAAGCCUAUUUAUGGGGCGAGUGAGACUGAUGAGAAUAUGAGAAUGGUGCAAUUAGAGUUAAUUAAACAUGCUGCAGUGAUGAGUCUGGAUUUCCAACACCCACAUAAGCACACUGAAGAUGAAAUGAGGAGGGAGAAAUCCUGUAGGUCUUGUGUGUGAUAUGAAGUUUUGAGAGGCAUCAUUAAGACACACCAACUACUGGGCCUUUUCAGGGAGAAUGGAUUUAAUAUGUAACACAAGCAAGUGAAGCAAUGAGUAAUUUAGACUGGAAGAGACCUCUGGAGCUGACUUGAUGAAAAAUAAAUCCUUAACAAAAGAAGAAAAUGAGAUACAAACAAGAUUUUUAUUCUGUGGUGUGAAGUGGUUGGCACUGAAGUUCUCAAGCCCUUGACAGAAUGAGGUCCCCUUUGUCCCUGUGAGCUACGUUCCUGGAGCAUAUCUUCCUGUCCAGUUUUGUAUGAAAACCAUCUGUCUUGCAGACUCCAAAGGCACUCUGAAAUGUGACUCAAAUCUUGGCAAGAGGAACAUCUGGGGGAUUUUUUUUCAAAUGUGGACUCCCACCUUGGAUUAUAAUCUGUGUGUGUUCAUGUUCAGUGUUGGGUGUCCUAUCUCCUCUCAGGGAGUGUUACGACAUGUGCUUUACAGCUGACCAAAUUCCUCAGUGUGUUUUAGGGCUGGGCCUGCAGGGGCUUGCAAAUCUUAUUUGGGACUCUCACCAGCCCUUUCCUCUCUGCACUCGCUUUCUUCCCAUGGGGGUCAUGACAAGAUCAUUUGAUAUAAGCAGUAUGAAUGGGCAGACCCUGUUCUACACCUUUCCAAAUGAGCACACUGAAUUCAAAUUGAGACACUGAAGGGUGUCUGAAUACUCUUUUUUUUUUUUUUUUUAAAUCAUUAUUUUCAUAUCUUUGGCACUGCUGUUUCUAUUGGGAAGAGCAAGGCUCUGUGUGAGAUUACAUUUGCUGAUCUUUCUGAAGGAUAUUUUUAUAAUGCUUCACAAUAAACAAAAAAAAACACUGAAAGGACAGAAGGAGAACUCCCCCGACAGCCCACUGUUCUGCCCCUUGAAUCUAUUUAGGCUAAAUUUUUCCCAUACUGAGAACCAAAUUUCCAGAAGAAAGUGCCUCUGUUGCAGCAGAAACUGGAGGUGGUCUGGCUUCCCUUGGGGGCCAAAGAAUCAUAGAAUAGUUUGGGUUGGAAGGAACCUUCAAAGGUCAUCUAGUCCAACCCUGUGCAAUGAACAGAGACAUCUUCAACCAGAUCAGGUUGCUCAGAGCCCUGUCCAGCCUGGCCUUGAGUUUUUCCAGAGGUGGAGCAUCUACCACCUCUCUGGGCAACCUGUGACAGUGUGCUAUCAUGCUCAUUGUAAAAAAUUUCUUCCUUGUGUCCGGCCUGAAUUUCCCCUCCUUUAGUUUAAAGCCAUUACCCCUUUCUUAUGGCAACAGGUCCUGCUAAAAAGCCUGUCCCCAUCUUUCUUCUAGGCCCAUUUCGAGUACUGAAAGGCUGCAAUAAGGUCUGCCUGGAGCCUUCUCUUCUCCAGGCUGAACAACCCCAACUCUCUCAGCCUGUCUUCACAGCAGAGCUGUUCCAGCCCUCUGAUCAUUUUUGUGGCCUCCUCUGGCCCCUCUCCAACAGGUCCAUGUCUUGCCUGUGCUGAGGGCUCCAGAACUGGAUGCAGGACUCCAGGUGGGGUCUCACCAGAGCAGAAAGAUCCCACCAGCUAUGCACAAAGCUGGUCGUGUUUGCCUGGUAAGACUUAACUGCAGUAGUUGCAAACUGCCUCUUCCCACUCCCACACCAGAGGCUGGGAUAAGACAGAUUUCCUGGAAUUAUGCUGGUUUUGGGGUUUUGUUCUUCUAGCUACAGGGACUGGGGUAACUGGUAAGCUGAGCCAGCUCAAAGCAUCCAGGUGCAUAUCACAGGCAGCACAAUGCAGUUUGCGCUGAUCUUGUGAUAGGAACCAGCAUGUUGCCUUUCAGGAGCCUCAGCAUCCUGGGCCAGGGCAGCAUCUCUUGUGCUGUUGGACUUUGAAGCAGCCCACAAAGAGGACCUCAAGGUCUGAUGCCUGUGUGUCACUCUUCUUCCUGUGCUGCAGCAGCUGAGGUUUGCUUCCUGACAGCUGAGUACAUGAAUUUUUAUAUUGGCUGUGCAGGCGAGGCAACUAAGGAGAGGUUGCUAGGAAUGUAGCACUUUCAGAGCAGCGCACACCAUUAAUCCCAUCCUCCCCAGCACAGAGAUAGUUCAGCAUCUUUGUAGAUGAAAGGAAUGAAGCUUGUUUGUUCACGUGCUUUCCCAUAAAAACAAGGAUACUGUGAUUUUUCUUGAUGGUAGCUGUCUCCCUUAAUCAUCCCUCCAUAAUUUUUUUACUCCUUUAGCUAGUUUCCACCAGAUUUAACAGUAGGGGACACAUCUCAAAGGUUAUACAUUCAAACAGGGUUUUCUCCCCCGCCAUAAAGAGGAGGCCAUGCAGGGGAAACAUUGCAGGAGUGGUUGUCAGUGAAAUAGCUGAAAUCUGAGGUUAACCCUUACUAGGCAUUAAAAAAUCCUCAGAUGAGAGAUGAAACCUGUUAGCAAGGUAUGUAGACUCCCAUAUUAAGAGUUCAUUAGGGUUUUUUUUACCCCUAUUUACACUUUUAGGGGACAUAACUCUGCCUCGUGCAGCUGAGAAGAGGUGUGAAAAGGAGCACUGGGAGAUUCAGUACUUUAGGAUCAGCCCCAGUAACUGUACUUUCCUGUGGAUUGCUCAGCAGGUGGAACAGCAGUGGCAAACCACAAAAACAGCACAUAUAAAUAACAUUUGAAAAUUAAUCAUCCCAUUUCCUGCAAGUGAUAAGAAAAUAUGCCUUAUUCGUGAGU